rnacentral:rRNA from 1 species
GACGGAGGAUGCAAGUGUUAUCCGGAAUCACUGGGGCGUAAAGCGUCUGUAGGUGGUUUAAAAAGUCUACUGUUAAAGCUUGAAGCUUAACUUCAAAAAUGCCGUAGAAACUUUUAAACUUGAGUAUGGUAGGGGUAGAGGGAAUUUCCAGUGGAGCGGUGAAAUGCGUAGAUCUUGGAAAGACCACCAAUGGCGAAGGCACUCUACUGGGCCAUUACUGACACUAAGAGACGAAAGCUAGGGGAGCAAAUGGG